AUAUUUUGCAUAAGGCAUUGUCUGGUAGACCUCUAACAAGAUUGUUCAAAUUAUAGCCCUGGGUUCAAAAUUGGCCCCGCCCCGGGGGUCAUUGAUUUUCACUAUGUACAUAUAGUAAAAACUUAAAAUACCUUCCUGUAAAAACCCAAAAGGCCUAGAGCUUAGAUAUUUUGCAUAAGGCAUCAUCUGGUAGACCCUUACCAAGAUUGUUCAAAUUAUAGCCCUUGGGUCCAAAUCGGCCCCGCCCCGGAGUCAUUGAUUUUCGCUAUAUGUACAUAUAGUAAAAACUUAAAACACCUUCUUGUAAAGACCCAAAAGGCUUAGAGCUUAGAUAUUUUGCAUAAGGCAUUGUCUGGUAGACCUCUACCCAGAUUGUUCAAAUUAUAGCCCUGGGGUCAAAAUCGGCCCGCCCCAGUGGUCAUUGGUUUAUCCUAUAUGUAUAUAGUUAAAACUUAAAAAAUCAUCUUCUCUAAAUUUACAAAGGAUAAAGUUAAGAUAUUUUGCAUGAAACAUUGUGUAGUGAACCUCUAGCAAGAUUGUUAAAAUUAUAGCCCUAGGGUCAAAAUU